GCCAACAGCUAGCACUUUGCAACUCUCACAUGGUCGCCUACUUGAAGCUAAGCAGGGCUGUGCCCUGUGCUCCUUACAGUACCUGGAUUGGAGACCACAUGGGAAAGCUAGGUUGCUGCCGGAA
rnacentral:rRNA from 1 species